AAGUCGAGCGAGCGGAACAACAGAUUUACUUCGGUAAUGACGUUGGGAAAGCGAGCGGCGGAUGGGUGAGUAACACGUGGGGAACCUGCCCCUAAGUCUGGGAUACCAUUUGGAAACAGGUGCUAAUACCGGAUAAUAAAGCAGAUCGCAUGAUCAGCUUUUGAAAGACGGCGUAAGCUGUCGCUAAGGGAUGGCCCCGCGGUGCAUUAGCUAGUUGGUAAGGUAACGGCUUACCAAGGCAACGAUGCAUAGCCGAGUUGAGAGACUGAUCGGCCACAUUGGGACUGAGACACGGCCCAAACUCCUACGGGAGGCAGCAGUAGGGAAUCUUCCACAAUGGACGCAAGUCUGAUGGAGCAACGCCGCGUGAGUGAAGAAGGUUUUCGGAUCGUAAAGCUCUGUUGUUGGUGAAGAAGGAUAGAGGUAGUAACUGGCCUUUAUUUGACGGUAAUCAACCAGAAAGUCACGGCUAACUACGUGCCAGCAGCCGCGGUAAUACGUAGGUGGCAAGCGUUGUCCGGAUUUAUUGGGCGUAAAGCGAGCGCAGGCGGAAAAAUAAGUCUAAUGUGAAAGCCCUCGGCUUAACCGAGGAACUGCAUCGGAAACUGUUUUUCUUGAGUGCAGAAGAGGAGAGUGGAACUCCAUGUGUAGCGGUGGAAUGCGUAGAUAUAUGGAA
rnacentral:rRNA from 1 species